rnacentral:rRNA from 1 species
AGGCAGCAGGCGCGCAAAUUACCCACUGCACACCUUGCUAGGUAGUGACGAGAAAUAACGGUGUCGGGCUCCUAGCGGAGUGGCGACGACCGAAAUGAGUGCAAAACAAACAAAUGUCUUUCUGCUUCGGCAGAAGACGAGUAUCGAUCGAAGGGCAAGUCUGGUGCCAGCAGCCGCGGUAAUUCCAGCUUCGAAAGUGUACGUUAAUGCUGUUGUGUUUAAAAAGCUCGUAGUCGAAGCAAUGCGAGCUUGACGGCGAUCGCCCGGCUCGAGUAGUCGCGCUCUGCCCGUCGUCCUUCGGGGCGGCGGCGACGAGGGCGGCGAAAGCGUCGGGCACGUCGAGAAACGAGACCGAAACAUGGGCGGUCGACGUUCGCCCUCACGGGCCACGAUCGAGCCGGUCCCCAAAAUCGCCCUGUACCAAUGUGUGCUCAUCAGGGCAGUUCGAAAGACGAAAACGUGUGACGAUCGCGAAGCCUGCUUCGCGGAACGAUUGAACAAGGCCGCGGCUCGGCCGCCGGCGCUCCGAGAGUCGCGCGACAAUGGUCGAGAGAGACGAACGGGGGCAUUUGUACUGUGCCGGGAGAGGUGAAAUUCGUGGAUCGGCGCAAGACAAACCGAAGCGAAGGCGUCUGCCAAGGACGUUUUCCUUAAUCAAGAGCGAGAGUCGGAGGAUCGAAGACGAUCAGAUACCGUUGUAGUUCCGACUAUAAACGAUGUCGACCGCAAGGUCGCUAUGUUGAAAGACGAGUGCGUCGACGACGGUCUCUGACCGAUCGAUCGGCGGAACGAGUGAGCAAGUGGUGGCCGUGCCCCCCAAGGGAAACCGGAGUUUUCGGGUUCCGGGGGUAGUAUGGUCGCAAGGCUGAAACUUGAAGGAAUUGACGGAAGGGCACCACCAGGAGUGGAGCCUGCGGCUUAAUUUGACUCAACGCGGGAAAACUCACCCGGACCGUACGUGACAAGGAUUGACAGAUUGAAGAGCUCUUUCUCGAUCUUGCGAAUGGUGGUGCAUGGCCGUUCCUAGUUCGUGGAACGAUUUGUCUGGUUAAUUCCGAUAACGAACGAGAUUCGAGUACGACACGUUCGAAAGGCCGAUAUAGCGGUCGCGCUUCCUUUCGGGGGGCGCGUUCGCCGAGACCAUCGCGCCUACAAUUCGAACCUGAAAGACCGGCGGCAAAAAGCAGCCGCACGAGAUCGAGCGAUAACAGGUCUGUGAUGCCCUUCGAUGUUC